UUAAUUUGUCCAAAAAUAAAAAAAGUCGGGCAAAGUAUCAAGAAUGACAAGAGAAAGCUGAGAGAAACGACAGCUUGUGCUACCGUUUCGGCAUCUCUCUCUUGUCAUUCGAAUAAUUUUUUAUUGUUAAAAAUAUAAAAAAAUGAGAAAAUGACAAGAGACAACCCAUAUCCAUGGAAUCCCCAUCACUCCAUCACUCUCUCUCUCUCCCUUUCUCUCUCUCGACUUUCAUCUCUUUUUGGCUCCCAAUCACGCUUCCUCACUCUCUGGCUCACCAUCAUGCUUCUUCACUCUCUUCGACUACCAAACACAGAAGCACUGCCAGUUUUAGAUUCGGAAGCAGAACCCAACCGCCACUCAUUUUACGGUAAGUGAUUAAAGCAAAUGAUAAAUUUUUAUUUUUUGUGCAUUCUUGGAUUAAUUUUGUGAAUUCCGUGGGUUUCAGUAUCUGUUGUUUGGUGGUAAUUGUUUGAUGAUAAAGAUGAAUUUUUUUUGGAAAAUUAAUUGUGUGGAAAUUGCUUUGAAAACUGUUGGAUUUUGGUUCAAAGUAAUAUAGAAUUGUUGUGAAAAUUACUAUGUGAAAAUUGCUAAAUUUUAGUUCAGAUGAUUUGCUGUAUUCUAGUAAUUUUGAGAGUUAGUAUGUGUGCUAGAAUUGAACUCCAGAUUUUGUUUAGAAAGAUGGCUAGCAAAUGUAGCACCUAUAAUUUCAAUAAAAUAAAAAAUUAUAAAAAUUGGAUAUUGUGAAACGUACUCAAGUCAAAUUGUUUCUGAGAAAUUAAAGUCCUGUUUUGAUUUGUACUUUCAAAUACACAAAGUAUACUAAAGUAAAAGAUUUUAAAGAAAUUAAUCAACUUCAUUCUUACCAUUUAAUGUGACUUAAAGGCCUAAUUAAUUACACAAAAUUAAUGGUGGACAACGUAAAAGAAAAUAUUAAUUACAAUACUAAUCUGGGUCAUAUUUUCAUUGCAUAAUGGUCACACAAUUAUUGUAAUCUAUGCAUUUCAUAAUGACUAUGAUACUUGGCAUAAAUGAAUGCAAUAUUAAUGAUUUUAUUUCGACCAUAAAUAUUUUAUUUUAGAUUAUUCUUUUUUAAUUUUGUUGUCUAAUUACUUGAAUUUUCUUAAUUUCAUUGUCUAAUUACUCAGUUUUACAUGGAUAUCUUGUGAUAAUAUUACAUGUGAUUAAUUAAUUAUCUUAUUAUUUUUUUAAUUUUAAUUUUUUUGACAAUUUUUUAUGUUUCUUAGCUGAAAAAUAUGAGUGUUGCAGAGUGCUUUGUGUUUUCAUACUCCCUUUUUUUUUGGGCAGUUAAAAUAGUCUAUUAAUGAUAAUGUCAUCUCGCAAAAAUGAAACUCAAAACUCAUUACAAAUAUGUAAUGAAUGUAGUGGCCAAAUGGAUUUGUUAUUGUCACGUACUACAAAGAAUCCAAAUCACAAAUUUUGGAAAUGUAGAAAAUGUAAAAACUUUCAAUGGACAGAAAACCGUAAAUCUAACGAAGAGAAAAUUGACCUCCUAGUGGAGGAGGUUAUGAAGUUGACAUUGGAGAUUGAGUGUUUGUCUGUUAAAUUUCAAUUGUUUCAUAAAGAACUUGAGUAUAUGCAAUAAUGUGAAGUGCAGAGACGAUUGUUUGACGAUGAAUUUCAAAGGAGAUAGACAUGAGGAUAUGAUUUAAUUAGAAUACUUGUGAUUGUUGUACUAUGUUUUAUAUUCAAGUUUUAUUUUUAGGUUGUUUCAAUUUGCAUUAUCUACUGGGAAAACUUGUAGACAUAUAUAAUAAUAUUUUCACUCGAAAUAUAAGACUCUAAGUUCUUUCACUUUAUUCAAUUGGAAGUUAGAUUCAAAUUGUUGUUAUAAAAACUUUAUUUGAUGCCAAAAUAGCACACAAUGAGUACAAGCACGUUGAAAUUGUAAUAAUUUAUGCCGUUCAAAAUUAUUAGGAAGUAUGAUAAAAAAUUAUCAAAAAAGCCACCAGACCAACAAAAAUUAUCCGAA
rnacentral:lncRNA from 1 species